UACGAAAGGUGCAAGCGUUACUCGGAAUCACUGGGCGUAAAGCGCACGUAGGCGGACUCGCAGGUCAAUUGUGAAAUACCUGGGCUCAACCCGGGAACUGCAGUUGAAACCGCUUGUCUUGAAUACCUGAGAGGGUGGGGGAAUACCUGGUGGAGAAGUGAAAUUCGUAGAGAUCAGGUGGAACACCGGAGGCGAAGGCGCCUGCCUGGCAGUGUAUUGACGCUGAGGUGCGAAAGCGUGGGGAGCGAACAGG
rnacentral:rRNA from 1 species